GUCCCAGUGAGGAUCUCAAGACCUACCGAUAGGAAGUGCCGUUUGACACUGUAAACAGCAGCUGCUUCUUUCUGCUGCAGGUGUCCAACCUUAGACCAUAACCUUUGUGGUUUGGUUAAUGCUGGAGCUCCCAUCUGCAGUUUUUUGAUUCAGCUGUGGUGCGUGAUUUAAAUCGGGUCUCUGAGGGAU
rnacentral:snoRNA from 1 species